rnacentral:rRNA from 1 species
AUUGAACGCUGGCGGCAUGCCUUACACAUGCAAGUCGAACGGCAGCACGGGAGCAAUCCUGGUGGCGAGUGGCGAACGGGUGAGUAAAGUAUCGGAACAUGCCCAGUCGUGGGGAUAACGUAGCGAAAGUUACGCUAAUACCGCAUACGAUCUAUGGAUGAAAGCGGGGGAUCGCAAGACCUCGCGCGAUUGGAGCGGCCGAUAUCAGAUUAGGUAGUUGGUGGGGUAAAGGCUCACCAAGCCGACGAUCUGUAGCUGGUCUGAGAGGACGACCAGCCACACUGGGACUGAGACCCGGCCCAGACUCCUACGGGAGGCAGCAGUGGGGAAUUUUGGACAAUGGGCGCAAGCCUGAUCCAGCCAUGCCGCGUGCAGGAUGAAGGCCUUCGGGUUGUAAACUGCUUUUGUACGGAACGAAAAGGUUUGACUUAAUACGUUGGACUCAUGACGGUACCGUAAGAAUAAGCACCGGCUAACUACGUGCCAGCCGCCGCCGUAACAC